UGGACGGCCGUCUCUCUCUCAGACGCUCAACAGGUCUCAUGUUCAUUCUCUCUCAGAUCUGGAGAGGUAAAAGAAGGAAGACUGAACAUACAGGGCAUCGUAUAUUCAGGUCCAUGGAAGGCUCUUUUCCUCACUUUUCUCAUCUGUGCUCUUCUGGGUUCAGUUGGGUUCAUCCUCUACAAAUACAGAGAGAAACUAACAGGGAAGAAACCAGUCAAAGAAAGUAAGUAAACUACAUGUGCAUAAUUUUAACAUCCAAAAAUACAUAUGAAUAUACUUCUAUUUUCCUCAUUUGUAAGUCACUUUGGAUAAAAGCUUCUGCUAAAUGAGUAUAUGUAAAUGUAAAGGAAUCAGCUUAACAUCAGAAUUUAUUGUGGUUGAUUAAGUGGAGUAUUUGUGUAAAUAAAUUGGUAAUUAAACCCUCCA
ensembl:lncRNA